rnacentral:rRNA from 1 species
UGGGGAAUAUUGGACAAUGGGCGCAAGCCUGAUCCAGCCAUGCCGCGUGAGUGACGAAGGCCUUAGGGUUGUAAAGCUCUUUUGGCGGGGACGAUAAUGACGGUACCCGCAGAAUAAGCCCCGGCUAACUUCGUGCCAGCAGCCGCGGUAAUACGAAGGGGGCUAGCGUUGUUCGGAAUUACUGGGCGUAAAGCGCACGUAGGCGGACUUUCAAGUCAGGGGUGAAAUCCCGGGGCUCAACCUCGGAACUGCCUUUGAUACUGUUGGUCUCGAAUCCGGUAGAGGUGGGUGGAAUUCCUAGUGUAGAGGUGAAAUUCGUAGAUAUUAGGAAGAACACCGGUGGCGAAGGCGGCCCACUGGACCGGUAUUGACGCUGAGGUGCGAAAGCGUGGGGAGCAAACAGGAUUAGAUACCCCUGUAGUCCCUGAGCGGGCUGGCAAGGCGCAU